CCUACGGGUGGCUGCAGUGAGGACUAUUGGUCAAUGGACGCAAGUCUGAACCAGCCAUGCCGCGUGCAGGAUGACGGCUCUAUGAGUUGUACACUGCUUUUGUACGAGGGUAAACGCAGAUACGUGUAUCUGUCUGAAAGUCUCGUACGCAUAAGGAUCGGCUAAUUCCGUGCCAGCAGCCGCGGUAAUACGGAGGAUUCAAGCGUUAUCCGGAUUUAUUGGGGUUCAAGGGUCCGGAGGCGGUCGGUUAAGUUAGAUGUGAAAUCCCGAGGCUCAACUUCGGAAUUGUCUUUGAUACUGUUCGGCUAGAGAGUAGUUGCGGUAGGCGGAAUGUGUGGUGUAGCGGUGAAAUGCUUAGAGAUCAUACAGAACACCGAUUGCGAAGGCAGCUUACCAAGCUACUUCUGACGUUGAGGCACGAAAGCGUGGGGAGCAAACAGGAUUAGAUACCCUAGUAGUC
rnacentral:rRNA from 1 species